rnacentral:rRNA from 1 species
GACGAACGCUGGCGGCGUGCUUAACACAUGCAAGUCGAACGGAAAGGCCCUGGUGUUGUGGGGUGCUCGAGUGGCGAACGGGUGAGUAAGACGUGAGUAGCCUGCCCUUGACUUUGGGAUAACUUAAGGAAAGUAGGGCUAAUACAGGAUAGGAGAUCCUGCUGCAUGGAGGGGGGUGGAAAGUAUCGGCGUUUGGGGAUGGACUAGCGGUGUAUCAGCUUGUUGGUGGGGUAGUGGCUUACCAAGGCUACGACACGUAGACGGCCUGUGAGGGUGGUCGGCCACACUGGAACUGAGACACGGACCAGACUCCUACGGGAGGCAGCAGUAGGGAAUCUUCGGCAAUGGUCGAAAGUCUGACGGAGCGAUGCCGCGUGAGUGAAGAAGGUCUUCGGAUCGUAAAGCUCUGUUGUAAGGGAAGAACAGCUACCUUAGUAAACGAAGCUACCUUGACGGUACCUUAUCAAAAAGCACCGGCUAACUACGUG